AUGGAGUACCCUUUGGAACAUCCCCCGGUUAAUCCUCUUCCGGGCUCAUGGACGGAGAUGGAGCUGGCCAUUGUGGAGGCUGCGCAGGUGCGCUUGUUCAUGAGGAAGCCUGCCCAGGGGUUAGCAGAGCUGGAGGACAAGCAUCACCACACCAUAAGCGUGUUCAUAGAGGAAGCUGGACGUGCCCAGGGCGAUUCCCGUGGCGUUGUCCAUGGGCAUGUCUGUGCCGGUGGCCGGGACGUUGAUGGUCUCGGUGGGGUUGAAGUGGUGGUCAGAGUGCUGGUGGCCACUGUUAUUCAUCACCAUGGACGUGCUCACGGUUGUAAUUAG
rnacentral:rRNA from 1 species